rnacentral:misc_RNA from 1 species
GAUAAAAUUUUCCUUUCAACUUAUAGGAAAUCUUGUGAUUACCAAUGCCAUCCCAAAUUCACAAAAAAUCAAAGUUUAUUAAAUUAAAUAACAAUUUCAAUACAAUUGUCUGAAUGUUCAGUUCUAACUUCUAAGACAGUUUUGGGGAAAAAAACAAUGGACUUGAAAAAAAAAAUCUACUAGCUUUGGAAAUAUACAUUAUUGCAAGGGGAACCAAAAGGACACACUGGAGUUGGAAGUAGACACGCUUGUUUAAAAUUAAAUCACAUGAUAUAACAUCUAAGCUAAGAUGCAUGAACUUCAUUUGCUCACUGUGCUUUGCAUUAUGUACUAUCACUGUUAUCUACACUCCUAGGUUUAUAUAUAUCAUGAUAGUCCAUAUGCUUACUACAUAUGAUGUUACAUGUAAUGAUCAGGAGUCCAGUAAUAUGCAAAGUCUUGCAACAUAAUUUGUACUCAUGCCUAAAUGCAUAUGAUGAGCAACUAAGACCUCUUAUAUAAAACCUUUAAAGAGGCAACUAUGUUGUGAUUAAGGUAUCAAAUGUUUAUUGAUAAAACUUUUUCUUGCUAUCAGAACAUUUAGUGAAUGGUAAUAGAAAUCACAAUGUAAUGAAGCAUAAACUCUCAAGAUCUCUUAGUUUGCUUGAGGGAAAUUAUCAGACUUAAAAGUUAAAAGCAACAACUAGCAAUACCAUAACCCCAUAAUUAAAGUAGCUGGCAGCAUUAACACCCACAAAAACUAAAGCAAUACACAACAACCAUGUCCAACUUCUAAUAAUUGUUCAACAUAGAUUGGAUCAUGAUUCAUUAUUAAUGUUGUUCACAAUUUAGAACCUAAUAGCAUUAAAUAAUGCACACAUCACUCAAGUGAACAUGUCAAUUGUGUGUUAAUUCAUAUUUAUCAAAGUAUUCAUUCAAGUGUCACCGAUGUAGUCAAAAGCUCACAUAGCACUUGCCUAGUAGCACAAGCACUGUGAGAUAUGGAUCUAGUGCUUAGGACCCUACAAGCCAGGCAGGUUCCUUUAACAAGGUUCUUGCUUUCCCCCUUAAUUAAGAGUGCACCUCAAGAGGCACAUAUCUUGUUAAAAUUCAUUUAUUCUAUCUUGUUUGUUUUUUAAUUUGAAAAAGUUAUAAUUAUUUAACAAGCAUAAAAAUCAUUAAAAAAAAAAUUACACAUAAGACUGCUGGAGCCUUUUUUUCUCUUUUCUUUGCCAUGUUGGUUGCUAGGAUUUCAAACUUGCUCCAGGCAAAAGCAGAUGAUGUUGGAGAAACAAGUAAAAACACAAGAAACAAAGACAAAUCAAUCAAGUUAGUAAAAAAAUAAUUGAUUUUAUUAUCUUGAAUCAUGCCACUUUCUUAUUCUUGCAUAUCCUACUCCCCUGACCAUCGUUAUACAUAUACAUAAUGAAGGAAAUAGGCAAUCUCCCUUUUAAAAUAGUUGUUUGGAAAUAUCUCCUAUUUACUAGAGAACAAAAAAGAACACAAAGCCUAAUUUGAACCUAAUUAUAGAUUCAUAUCAUAACUCAUGCUGAGCUGGCAACUGAAGUACUGAAAUGAUUCCAACUAGAGUAAGGCACAUCCAAAUUCAAUUUACCAAGCGAUUUUUUAAAUUCAAUCCACCUCAUCAAGUCAGCAGAUUUUUAAAGUUAAAUUCACAUCCAAAAGUCUUAGUAGAUUAGGACGUCUAAUUAACUUAUUCAAUCCGUAUAGUUCAUAAAUGCCACCUAAUACAUAUAAUUGUGUACAUACAUAUAUUCAUAAAAGAAUAAACCAUUAUUUCAUGAAACUCUCAAAGCUGUAUCAUACCAAAAAGUUAAUGUUGGGAAAACCAUUACGAUCAGCAAGGUUCCUGGCCAGAUCAAUUGCCCCUUCACUAUAAUCAACUCCAGUUAAAUCAGAGAACCCCUGCUUAGCAAGUUCUUGAAGGAGCAAACCGUUGCCAGUUCCAAUGUCAAGUACACUCCAGCUGGACAAAUAUUUAUCAUCCUGGUCAACAGGUUCAGACUUGAUAUCAUCAAAAUGAUAAGGAAUGUGACCUUGAGAAAUCUUGAUGCACAAGCUCUUGGUCCAAGAAACAACAACAUCCAUUACAUCAGACCCAAACCAUAUUUCACCAGCAAGACCAUGCUCCCGAAAGUUUGCCAACUCAUCUGCAUAUGCAGCAUCCCAAUAACUCUGAAGACCUAGCAUUGAUGCCACCCCUUCACCAUCUGCUUCCUCCUUGUCAGAGUUGUAAUCAGAAGCGGCACGGAAGUUGGCGGAGGAUAGAGCUUCGGCAGCAUCAGCAUGGCGUUGAUCGUCGUCGAGAGUACUUCCGUAGUCACUCUUUAUGGACCAGGAAUCGGCAGCCACAGACCUCUCGUCAUCCGAAACCAGAUCACCAGUGGCAGCUCGGGUUUGGUGCUGCGUGAGGUCGGCUUCUUCCGGUUGCAACCGUAUUCCCGCCAUCAAAGCGUAUGGUUAAUCUGAGGAGGAGGCGUAAGGCAGACGGCUUUGGAGAUUUGCGUGGCACUGAGAGAGAGAGACACUUCGACUGUGAUGACAGGGGAAUGACCGUGCAGACGCA